rnacentral:rRNA from 1 species
UACGUAGGUGGCGAGCGUUGUCCGGAUUUACUGGGCGUAAAGAGCGCGCAGGCGGUCGUUCAAGUCGCGUGUGAAAGCCCCCGGCUCAACUGGGGAGGGUCACGCGAUACUGAUCGACUCGAAGGCAGGAGAGGGUAGUGGAAUUCCCGGUGUAGUGGUGAAAUGCGUAGAUAUCGGGAGGAACACCAGUGGCGAAGGCGACUACCUGGCCUGUUCUUGACGCUGAGGCGCGAAAGCAUGGGGAGCGAACGGG